rnacentral:sRNA from 1 species
UGACCCAGGCCCAGGGAGAAGGGGCAGGCGGCCCAGGGGCCUGAGGGAGAGACGGGUUUGUGCAGCUGCAUCUUUCCUGUCCAGGUCGUGACCCAGUAGGGCCCAGGCCUGGGUCACUGCUAUCCCCAUCUUCCAGCCCAGGGUGACUGUAUACAGUUUCGUAGCUGUGGUGAACAAGGCCAUGAGUGCCAAGUUUGAGCGGCUGGUGGCGAGCGCAGAGCAGCUGCUGAAGGAGCUGCCCUGGCCCCCAACCUUUGAGAAGGACAAGUUCCUCACCCCUGACUUCACCUCCCUGGAUGUUCUCACCUUCGCUGGCUCCGGCAUCCCUGCCGGCAUCAACAUCCCCAACUACGAUGAUCUGAGGCAGACGGAAGGCUUUAAGAACGUGUCGCUGGGGAAUGUGCUGGCUGUGGCCUACGCCACGCAGCGGGAGAAGCUCACCUUUCUGGAGGAGGAUGACAAG